UAGGCCUCAAAUCUCUAAAGCCAAUGGACUACGCACUCAAACUUCCCAGACUAUGCAUUGUGCUUCGCUGCCUCAAGCUCCUGCUACUCUGACUCCUCCAUAAAAAUGAAAUUGUGACCUUGAACUGAGCUGCAAGAAACCCCAUUUCCCUAAGUUGCUUUUGCAGAGUAUUUUAACCACAGGGACAAAAGAGAGACCAAGACGGAUGCAAUAGUAAAUGAAUUCAGCCAGCAUUUCCCAGGUACAAAACUGGACAAUCCUGGACCUAAGUGGAACAUUUAUCGCCAUUUCUUUUGAACGGGAGCUGUAAGGUGUCCAGUUCUCAAGUAUGAAAAGGAUAUUGUCAGACCUACCGCUUGAGAACCGUAUGUACUCCACAUACAAGAGUUACAGUCUGGAAUCUGGUUCAUGUGUGAGCUCUAGGCUGUGAAGUCCAGGACAGUCUACUGGAUCUGAACUGCUGAGAACCUUCUGGAAGGAAGAGAAGCUGAAGCUCAGACAACCAAGGGAAAAGCAUCUGGAGUGUGGAUGACAUUCUCUCCUGAGAAUGACUGGAAGCAUCUGUGUUAGAUGGAGGGAUGGUGUCGUGGGGCAUGCAUACACGCACGCAUGCACACACACAUACACACACACUACAGUCAGUUGGAGAGAUGGUGUGGUAGGGUGUGAGUGUGUGUACCACAAACAGGCAGCAAAGCAAGACAGCAUCAUCUCCAGUGUGUUCUCAGGCUUUUGGAGACAGCAGCAUAACUGACUGUCUGGCUUUAGCAGCUAACUCCCCCCAAAAGAAAAGACAGUAUUAGGACCACAAGGAGUUGUGUUUUUUAAUUGAUACUCAAUCUCUACAUACAAUAUUGCACAAAUUAAAGAUGUAUCAACAAUUCUAUUUAUGAUACAAACUCAUCAACAAUCAUAAAA